ACUGCUGAUGGAUUGAUACAGCAAUAUCAAAUCAGAGGCCAAAAGAUUCCAAAAGAAAGUUGACUCAUCAAUGAGUGGACAAAUUACUUUUAUUUUUCCAUUGCUCCUUCUCUCUUAUUUUUCAUUUAAGAGGACUGAAUGACCAAACCAAGUAUAUGAUGGACUGAAACAAUACUAAUAUUGACUGAGUAUGCAAGUGAGAGAAACUUGCAAUUCUCAAGAUAGGAGGCUAUCAGAACUUUAGUAUUCAAGAAAGUAAGGCAUAACCAAUUCCACCAAGA
rnacentral:misc_RNA from 1 species